rnacentral:lncRNA from 1 species
CUCACAAGGUUGAGCGGGCAGUGUCGGCGGGGCGGAGCUGCUUCCUGUAGGCUCUGAAGCAGAACCCUGCCCCGCUCACUUGGUGGUCGGCUGAAUCCAGUUCCUUGGGCUUACAGGGCUGAGGUUCCCAAUCCUCGAUGGCCGUGAGCCCCGGCUGUUCUGCGCUCCUGGGGCCUGCCGCGUUUCUGCCUGAACUCUCCACACUGCCCCUCCAGCAACAGCAGGUCAAGCCCUCCUCACGCUUCGAAUCCCUCCGCCUGCAGCUGGAGAAUGUUUUCUGCUUUUAAGGGCUCAUGGGAUUAGACUGGGCCACCCAGAUAACCCAGGAUCAUCCUUUCUUGUAUUGUCAAGAACCCUAAUCACAUCUGCGAAGUCCCCUGUGCCACUAUAAAAUGUCUCCCCACCGUCUCAUCAAUCUGAGGGACAGGAGUAAUCAACACAGAACUGUGCUGCAGGUAAGGCCGGGGUCUGGGCCCCAGGAUGCCCGUUUAUCCCUAGCCCACACUCAGGGCUAUUGUGGGAUAAAAAGAGAAGGGAACUGAAUGGGGGAGGUGAAGGGAAGGAGAGGAGUCU